UGUUAAGAUUACAUAAACUUUUAUUUUAUUAUAAUAUCUGAAACAAAUAAUAUACAUGCUAUUACACUAUAAGGGACAUACACAGAUAGAACUACUUAAAUUAUUGAUUAAUAUAAGUACUUAAUGAUAUUUACAACUUAAUCUUAUUUAUUUUAAUAUAUUUACACAAAUAUUUACAAAAGGAGUGUAAACUAGGGAGAGAAGACAUUUAAUGGACGUUGGACGGGGGACUUCAGCGGGUAUAUAAUUGUACAGUGAAGAUUGCAUUAAGGGACAACUGAAGAACAAAUGAUCCAUGUUUCCCUCAUCAAGGCCACAAUCACAUAGGGAAUGAUCUCUUAUUCUAAGUUUAGCUAGAAAAACUGGAGUGCAGGCGUGGUUUAAACGGUAGAGCACAAGUCAUGAGUGAAUAUUUCAGAAUACUGAAAGGAACCUGAAUGAGCAGCUGAUCUAACACAGGCAUCUGCAUUUUCAUUACCAGAGAUGCCCAUGUGACCUGGAAUCCAUGCUAAAACAAUGUUAAUUUUGAGUUCAUAGCACUCUUUCAAAGUUUCUCUUAUUUUGAGAAUAAUGGGAAACUGACUUUUUGACUUAAACAGAUUUGAGAGAAUUGAUUGGAGGCAACUUUUAGAGUCUGAAAGGAUAAUAGAAUUGUUCAUGUUGUGAGACUUAACAAAUAGAAUAGCUUCGAGUAUGGCGAUUGAUUCCCCUGUAAACACAGAAGUGGUAGGUGGGCAGCUAUAACUCAGUAUAAUUCUUGUUGAGGGAAUCCAUACUGCAGCCCCAACCGGACUCAUGUCUGUUUUUGAAGCAUCCGUGUAGAUUUUAUACCAAUGUCGAAAAUCUGAGUCCAUUAUAUGAGAAAAAGUUUUAUUUGCUUCUAUAGAAAACUUAUCAACACCUAAGUCUAAAAUUACUGAGGGUUAGAGCAUUGAAAGGCAUAGAAAAUAAAGGCAAUUUAGAAUAUUGAAAGAGAGGGUUAGAGAGCUGAGAAAAUAAAAGAAACUUUUGCAAGAGCAGAAGAGAGGGCAAUUGGCCUAUAGCUGGUGGCUUCAGAUGGAUUCUGACCAGGUUUAAGUAAUGGAAUGAUUAUCUGAUUUUUCCAAGGUGGAGGGAUGGAGCCAAGAUCAAAAAGGUUAUUGAUUAUGCCAAGAUAAUAUUCCUUGGAUGAAGUUGAUGAAUUUUUAAUGAAAGAAUAGGGGAUUCCAUCUGCCCCAAGGGCAGAGUCAACUAGGCCAUCCAGAGCAAGAAGAAGUUCAGAGAAUGAGAAGGGAGACUCUAAACUGUGAGUUGAGGCAAGAGGGAUGGGGGGGAAUGGGAAAUAGUCAAUAUUUGGGACUGAAGGGGAGGACAUCCUAUCUGAAAAGGAAUGGAAUGGAAGGAAUGGAAUCAAGCCAUACAGAAGAAUCCUCAUUCAAAUAAUACAUUUGAUCACAAAAUGAGCCUCUAAAUUUUUUAAUUUGCUCCCAGACAUUUGAGGAUGGAGUGCUAGAUUUUAAAUUCUGGCAAAAAUUAAUCCAACCUUCUUUUUUCUAAAUAAAUGGGCAGCCUUGGCCGCCACUUUUUUAUAAUAAAUAAAGUUGGUCACAGAGACGUU